rnacentral:rRNA from 1 species
UACAGAGGGUGCAAGCGUUGUUCGGAAUUACUGGGCGUAAAGCGCGCGCAGGCGGAUCCUGUAAGUCUGAAGUGAAAUUUCACCGCUCAACGGUGAAGCUGCUUCGGAUACUGCGGAUCUGGAGACCGGUAGAGGCUGGUGGAAUUGCAGGUGUAGCGGUGGAAUGCGUAGAGAUCUGCAAGAACACCCGUGGCGAAGGCGGCCAGCUGGGCCGGUUCUGACGCUGAGGCGCGAAAGCGUGGGGAGCAAACAGGAUUAGAAACCCCUGUAGUCC